rnacentral:rRNA from 1 species
CACUCUAGCAUAAAUAGUAUUAGAGGCACUGCCUGCCCAGUGACAUACGUUCAACGGCCGCGGUAUCCUGACCGUGCAAAGGUAGCAUAAUCACUUGUUCUUUAAAUAAGGACUAGUAUGAAUGGCUUAACGAGGGUUUAACUGUCUCUUACUUUUGAUCAGUGAAAUUGACCUUCCCGUGAAGAGGCGGGAAUUUCCUAAUAAGACGAGAAGACCCUAUGGAGCUUCAAUUUAAUAGUCUCACAACCCUAAUAAAAUCUUAGGAGUCAAAAUUAUUGUUUACAGACUAGAAAUUUUGGUUGGGGUGACCUCGGAGUACAAAUCAACCUCCGAAUGAUAAUAAUCUAGACACACAUGUCCAAAUUAUAAUUCAUUAAUUGACCCAAAUAUUGAUCAACGGAACAAGUUACCCUAGGGAUAACAGCGCAAUCCUACUCAAGAGUUCAUAUCGACAGUUAGGGUUUACGACCUCGAUGUUGGAUCAGGACAUCCAAAUGGUGUAACCGCUAUUAAUGGUUCGUUUGUUCAACGAUUAAAGUCCU